AGAUGAAGUUAGCCUUCUCAGCUAGCCUUUAGAUUUGUCUGUUAACAGUAGAAAUGCUAUAAUAAAUCGGUAACAUAUGUUGCCAGGCAGGGAAAAGUGGUAGACAAGAGCCUGGGAGACCAAGCCAAGUACCAUGUGAAAGAAUUCAAAUUUCAAUCUAUUUGCUGCUAAUUACCAUCUGAAAAGUAAUUUGAAAGUGUUGUUACUUGCUUAUAUUCUUCCUCAUUUUUCUUUCUUUCUUUCUUUCUUUUUUUUUUCUCUUCAGAUUGCUUUCUUACCCAAAUUAUCUCCGUGAUUGCCUGUCCUGAGGCUUUGGGCCAAUGCAAACUACGGAAUGGCAAGUCUUACAAUCUUGUCUGUCCUUGUCUGGCAUCCAUCCUCCUUCCAGAGUGAACAGAGGUAUAUCCAUAAGCACUGGACACUGAUUUCACAGCCUCGUCCAAAGCCAGGCAAUUCUUGAGGCAAACAAACAAAGGGGUGUGAGUGAUUUCAUUUAUUUUGAUAAUCCUCUGUCUGCACAGGGGCACUUUGCUGUCUUUGUCAAAGUGAAUGACAACAAUUUGGCCAACUCUCUCUGAGCUGCACUCAACAGUGACAGGCAAAUUAUCAGA
ensembl:lincRNA Gm28401 predicted gene 28401